GAUGAACGCUGGCGGCGUGCCUAAUACAUGCGAGUCGAGCGAACAGACGAGGAGCUUGCUCCUCUGACGUUAGCGGCGGACGGGUGUGUAACACGUGGAUAACCUACCUAUAAGACUGGGAUAACUUCGGGAAACCGGAGCUAAUACCGGAUAAUAUAUUGAACCGCAUGGUUCAAUAGUGAAAGACGGUUUUGCUGUCACUUAUAGAUGGAUCCGCGCCGCAUUAGCUAGUUGGUAAGUUAACGGCUUACCAAGGCAACCAUGCGUAGACGACCGGUGAGGGGGAUAGGCGCCCCGAGAAGGUGGACGGCGACCAUAGGCCUGCGGGAGGCAGCAGAAGGGAACCUUACGCAGUAGGCGAAAGUAUGACGGAGCGGGGGGGCGUGAGUGAUGGAAAUGUUCGGUUCGGGAAACUCUGUUAUGGGGGAAGAACAGAUGUGUAAGUAGCUGUGGACGGCUUGACGGUACCUGAUCAAAAAGCAACGGCUAACUACGUG
rnacentral:rRNA from 1 species